rnacentral:rRNA from 1 species
AGGGAAUCUUCCGCAAUGGACGAAAGUCUGACGGAGCAACGCCGCGUGAGUGAAGAAGGCCUUCGGGUCGUAAAACUCUGUUGCCGGGGAAGAACAAGUGCCGUUCGAACAGGGCGGUGCCUUGACGGUACCCGGCCAGAAAGCCACGGCUAACUACGUGCCAGCAGCCGCGGUAAUACGUAGGUGGCAAGCGUUGUCCGGAAUUAUUGGGCGUAAAGCGCGCGCAGGCGGUUUCUUAAGUCUGAUGUGAAAUCUUGCGGCUCAACCGCAAGCGGUCAUUGGAAACUGGGAGGCUUGAGUGCAGAAGAGGAGAGUGGAAUUCCACGUGUAGCGGUGAAAUGCGUAGAGAUGUGGAGGAACACCAGUGGCGAAGGCGACUCUCUGGGCUGUAACUGACACUGAGGCGCGAAAGCGUGGGGAGCAAAC